GCCCCCAGUAACGGGCGAGUGAAGCGGCAAAGCUCAAUUUGAAUCCUGCGGGAAUUGUAAUUUGAAGGUUUCGUGGUCUGAGUCGGCCGCGCCCAAGUCCAUUGGAACAUGGCGCCUGGGAGGGUGAGAGCCCCGUCCGGCGCACGCCGACUCUUUGCACCGCGGCUCCGACGAGUCGAGUUGUUUGGGAAUGCAGCUCUAAGUGGGUGGUAAAUUCCAUCUAAAGCUAAAUAUUGGCGAGAGACCGAUAGCGAACAAGUACAGUGAUGGAAAGAUGAAAAGCACUUUGAAAAGAGAGUGAAACAGCACGUGAAAUUGUUGAAAGGGAAGGGCUUGCAAGCAGACACGGUUUUACCGGGCCAGCGUCAAAUAAACGGGGGGGAAAAGGGGGAAAGAAUGUGGCGCGUGCCUUCGGGUUCGCGUGUUAUAGCUUUCUCUAAUACCCCCAUGUUUGUUUGAGGCCUGCGAUUCUAGGACGCUGGCGUAAUGGUUGCAAGCCGCCCGUCUUGA
rnacentral:rRNA from 1 species